GCAUUAUACUAUUUUGCAAGUGUGCACAAAUAUCAACUAGUAAUUUCAUAAAUCUGAAAACCACAAUUCCCCGAUGAUGACCAUGACCCUAGAAAAAGCCUAGAGAAAACAACCUCUUUACGAGACAUACCUUGCAAUAGAUGUUUGUUUAACUGGAAAUCCACAAGAGCAGCUGCCCAGAGCAAUGGUACAUAUUUGCUUCUGAAUCCUUUCUCAAAGACACUAUUUAAACAUGCUGAUGAACUGAGCUGGAUUUUUCCCCACCUCCAUUCCAGCAAAAUAAGGAGACUCAGAAGAUAAAAUUUGUUUUGUUAUUGUAAGUAGUGCUAUGUGGUACAGGAUUAAAUAAGAGAUGUGAACUCACCAUAGCAACCCCCGCAUCACAUUGUAGAUAUGCUGCUUCUAAGAUACGGCAAAUGUUUCUGAAGAAAUACACAGAAUAUGAGGAAUCCAGAAAACUCCCCUGUCUGUUUUGAACCACCUCCUGCUGACGUUCUGAGAUCUUGCAGUAAUACUAAUGGUCACCAUAAGAUAUUCAGCAGAAUUUUGUGAAAACAGUUAAAGUUGGAAAUUUCAGUUGUAGAGGGGCAGCACCAAUUUUCUCACAUUGCCUGAGAUGACUGAUAAAGAAGACAAGUAUUCUGGACUGCCACAUAAAGUCGACUCCAUUCAUUCUUCCAUCACUGUUCAAGGUUUUGUCUCUGUGGUACAGAAAUGCAGAAACCCUAAAUAAAUUUUGAAUAUUUUUGGUAGCAGAAGCAGAAGUUUAAUUUAAACCUCAAAGCAUUUUAUUAAUUCUGAAAACCUCAUUGUUAAUCUGCAUACCUACAUUUUAUCAGAAGGAAAUGUUUUUUUAUUCUUACAAAUGGACAAGUUUGUUCAUUGAGGAUGUUAAAAAAUCUGUUUAAAAAUCUACUGAUAAAAUGCAUCUCCCCAUAUGCAACUUUAUAUUUAUUUCAACACCAUUUCCCCUUUGGUUUCCCAUGUUUUUUCACAGAGGGCUAUUUAUACUUGGGGUAAGGGAUGAUGUACAGUGCCUGAAUGGUUUGUCCCUGGUGUUUCUGUGCACUGAGGACAGGUAACCCUGGUUGUGAUGGGGUUGAAGGGCUCACCUUACCCAUGAGCUGGGGUCCAAGUGCUGCUUGGUGGUGCUCCUGCCCUGGCUCUGUGUUCCCUGGGAUGCUGCCUUGAUCCUGGUGGGAGCUGAGGCUGAGUGCCCCAGGGCCUGGGAGAGAUGUUUGACUUGUAGUCCCACCAGGACUCCUCGCAGACAAGCUAUGCAAGGAGCUAUAUUUCAUCUCUGGUUUUUAUUCCCUUGUCAUGGCUACCCAUUGGUGCAAAACAUGCAGCUGCUCAGGUGAGAAGGAGGGUUCAGUCAGCAUCAAAAUGUCUGCCUGAGAAGUUGUGUGACAAUUUCCACCUUUGCUAUCAUUCAAAACUUCCUUUAAGCAGUUCUCAGUGCUCAGUUUUGACUGUGCCUUUGCUCAGCUUAGGGAUAAUGUUAAUUGUGACUACGUGCUGGCAGAGGUUGUCAAAGGGUAUUUGAGCUCUUCCUUGGCUUCCUUAUAUCUCCUGUAGUCCUCCUAGGUUUUCUUUGGCUUUUUUGUAGUUGUAUUUUUGUUUGGUUUUUUGCCUGGAUGAUUGAUUCAAGAUACACCCACCCCAAGUUUAUGAGCUCCUGAAACAAGGAGUUGCUGGCUGUGGUCCUCAGAUAACUGAAAUUAUAAUAAUAAUAAUAAUAUGUCCAAAAUAUGUUUCUUAUAAAAUAAUAACAUUCUAGAUUACUUCUCAUGUCCCAGGUUUACACACUGCAGUUUAACUGAUGGAUAUAGCCUAGUCACCAUGGCAUUGAGUUUCUUACAUUAGCUUGAGACCUUUAUGAUUAACUAUCACAGGGAUAUAACCACACUUGCACUUGCUGUUGUAACUCCAGAUCACUAAACCCUUCACAAACUGUAUCAAAAUGAGUCAAAUGUCUGCCUACAUGGUUCUCCAAAUAACCACGAUCAAUGGGUACCAUUUUCUGAAAGUAGUGACAGUCAUGGGUGUGAUGUGGCCAGUAUCAUGUUCAGCUGCCUUUGAGACCCUGCAUUCAACAGAGUUUCUAUUUAUAACUAUUUCUAUUUAUUGAGAAUGCCUGUUGGCACCAGGACAGGCCAGAGCUUGCUCUUCGGUCUCUGGAUCCACUAGGGAGAGCACUGUCUCCCACACCCUGCCUUUUCCCUGUCCAAAACAACAGCCAUGUGCGGAGCUGUGGAAAUAGUCAUGACUUCCUGCUAUACAUGUUGUACAUAUUGGGUGAACCCAAUUCAUUAAAAAAAAAAAAAAACCAACAAAAACCAAACC